ensembl:lncRNA
GCUCAGUGCGUGCUGCUGAAGUUCAGUAGUGAAAGGUUUCCUGAACGUUACAGAGGGAACUUCCCCAGCGGUCCGAAACGGAUGAAUGGAGCUGCUCUGCUCUCAAAGCCCGAGCACUUCUGGCAUAGGUGGGUUUCUAGCAAACUGAAAACCAAUGCUGAAGCCCCAAACCGCUGUCUAAAAAGAAGCCAGCUUGCUAGGUUUUAAACCAACUCCGUUCAUUGCGUUCCGUCGCUCUGGGGAAGUUCAACGUUUAGGAAACCUCUCGAGACGCAUUCGGGGGACUGGGUGGGUGUUUACUGCAAAAUCGUUCUAGGAGGUCAAGAAACCUUGCUAUGAAUUUAAACGCGAUUUCUAAAGGAAAACAAGAAUGGAUCAAUAACAGUAACGUCAUGCACUGAGAUAAAUAGCGUGGAAACCCAUGUGCACGGUGCGCGCUUUUGUUCAACCCAGAAGCGUCGGGCGGGGGAGGGACGCCUCGUGCAUCCUCCGUGUGCACGAGACUUCAGUGAGAAACAAGCGAGACAGACCUGCAAUUGGAUCCUACACAAGUCAAUCCCACAUGUGGGUGGGCGGUGGAUUCAGAGCUGCACACCCAGUAAAGUUUGUGCAACAAAAGGUUGCGGGAAAGUUGCGCACGAACACGAUUCACACUUACACCUGAACUCUACAUGCGCUAAAAGCGAUCAAGCAAGCUGCCUUUAACACACGAUUGAGCUCAGUUUCAUUCAAGCCACAAUGAUGUCAUACUUGUGGAUUUUCGUCCUUGGAAGUUUAAUCGUGACUGGAGUGAAGAUGCAAGACGAUGGAGUGGAAGGCGCAGACAAUGCCGAUUCUCCGGCAGAUGAGCUCGCUCCAGAGGACUCAACCGUUCCUGCUGAAGCUGCAGACGCUGAAGAACCAGCUAAAGAACCAUCACCUGAAGAAACAUCACCUGAAGAAAUAUCACCGGAAGAAACAUCACCGGAAGAAACAUCACCUGAAGAAAUAUCACCGGAAGAACCAGCACCUGAAGAACCAGCACCCGAAGAACCAGCACCUGAAGAACCAGCACCUGGAGAAAUAUCACCUGAAGAAACACCUGAAGACCCAGCGGAGGAUGCUGUGGAUGAGGCAGCAGCUACUGCAGAGCCUGAAGACACCAACCCUGAGUCAGACGCUGCGAUAGAAGAGGCUGAAGAAACACCAGCAGCUGAAGAGAAACCUGCUGAAGCAGAAGCAGAAGAAGCAGCGGCUCCUGAAGCAGAUGACGCCGAUGCAACUAAAACAGAAGCCGAUCCACCUGCUGAAGAUCCUGAACAAGAAAUCAAGCCCGAAGAAGCUCCAGAUGAUGCAGAAACAGAGGAAGCACAAGAGGAAGCAGAAGGAGGGGAAGCAGAAGCAGGUGCAGAGACUGAAGCAGACUUUACUGCUGUACCAGAGGAACCUGUGGACCCUGAAGGGGCUGUGGAAGAUAUGUCUGCAGAAUUCGAUCUUUCUGAUGCGUUCGCUCGCAGUGCUGGAGCAGUUUCUGAGCCGAACGACAGUGGAUCUGGUACGGUUGUUGGUGUUGUUUGUGGGAUUGCAGUAGCAGCUGUUGGUGCCAUAAUCGGAUACUUCACCUACCAGAAGAAGAAACUGUGCUUCAAGGUCCAGAGAGGUGAUCCAGAGAGUGCCAAAGAAGAGAACGGCACACAGAACCCUGAGGUUUUAAGCACCCUCCUGAAGUCAUCUGAACACGCCCCUGCAGCCGGCAGUGAACUUGCGUGAAGCUACUGUGAACUGCUUUACAUGGGAGCAGGACGUUGUAACUACCCACAUCUUGAGAACCGGAUGAACUUCACAAACACAUUCACAGUACAGAAAGUCAGCACAAAUAUCAUUUCUACACUCACUCUGAGUUCCUGACGCACAUUAAGUCCUUUUUCAUAAUAUCUCAUCUUCCUACUGCUUCGACUACAGUUCUAAACUAGCACAUAGGACUGUUAAUAAUACAUGUUUUGAAUGUAAUUUCACAUCGUUUGAGUGGAACGGGAUGUGUGCGUGUAUGCAUGUGUAAUUCGACAGCCUUUUGGUAGAGGCAUUUCAUUUCGUUACUUUAAAAAAUGUCGUUUGGUUUCAUUACUGUGUCAUUGAUCGCAGUUUUGUUUGAUGUCAAAUUGUUGCCUCUGAUUCAUAAAAGAGCAAAUCUCACAAUGUGGAAUGAUUCAAAUUGUAUUGUCUGACCAAACAGAAUUCAUAGGAAUUUUUCUUUCUAUUUUUUGUUUUGUUUUAAAAUUCUGUAAAUAAUUGUUGCGUUUGAAUAAAGAGUGGUUACAUUUAAAAGACGUUACACAUUUAAUUGCACAGUUUCAUAAUGCAACGAAAAAAAAAAA